AACAGGAUUAGAUACCCUGGUAGUCACGCCGUAAACGAUGUCGACUUGGAGGUUGUGCCCUUGAGGCGUGGCUUCCGGAGCUAACGCGUUAAGUCGACCGCCUGGGGAGUACGGCCGCAAGGUUAAAACUCAAAUGAAUUGACGGGGGCCCGCACAAGCGGUGGAGCAUGUGGUUUAAUUCGAUGCAACGCGAAGAACCUUACCUACUCUUGACAUCCAGAGAACUUAGCAGAGAUGCUUUGGUGCCUUCGGGAACUCUGAGACAGGUGCUGCAUGGCUGUCGUCAGCUCGUGUUGUGAAAUGUUGGGUUAAGUCCCGCAACGAGCGCAACCCUUAUCCUUUGUUGCCAGCGGUUAGGCCGGGAACUCAAAGGAGACUGCCAGUGAUAAACUGGAGGAAGGUGGGGAUGACGUCAAGUCAUCAUGGCCCUUACGAGUAGGGCUACACACGUGCUACAAUGGCGCAUACAAAGAGAAGCGACCUCGCGAGAGCAAGCGGACCUCAUAAAGUGCGUCGUAGUCCGGAUUGGAGUCUGCAACUCGACUCCAUGAAGUCGGAAUCGCUAGUAAUCGUAGAUCAGAAUGCUACGGUGAAUACGUUCCCGGGCCUUGUACACACCGCCCGUCACACCAUGGGAGUGGGUUGCAAAAGAAGUAGGUAGCUUAACCUUCGGGAGGGCGCUUACCACUUUGUGAUUCAUGACUGGGGUGAAGUCGUAACAAGGUAACC
rnacentral:rRNA from 1 species